CCAUCUUCCCACUACAAAAUAAUGUAUGUACUACUGUAUAACUUACUGUCAACAAUUUCUAACAAUGGCAUUUGCAGACAAUUCCACACAGACAUGGUCCCAAAAGGAGACAAAGGUUCUUAUCUCGAUAUGGUCAAACGAAAAGAUUCUCCAGAAGUUAGAGCGUAGUUAUAGAAAAAAACCUGUCUAUGGCGAAAUUUCGGAGAGAUUGAACGAACAUGGAUUCAAAAGGACUUGGAAACAAUGCCAAAUCAAAAUAAAAGACUUGAAGUUUUUAUACAGACGAGCACGGAUGAAACCAAGCAAUAGCCGACCGUCGCCAUUCUUUGCUAAACUGAAAGAAUUUCUUGGGGACAUAGACGAUCCCCCUCUUCCUCUGCCGUCUCUGCGUCUUUUUGUUCCUCCACUGCGUUUGGUGUCUGCAGCUCUAUGGCAAGUUGUUCAGCAGGGAGACAUAAUGGACUAUGGCUUGGUGGAGGAGUUUGUAACCACUGUGUUGGAGGUGGUCCCGGAUAUGAUGAGUUACAGAGAGAAAGUCCAACUCGUCAUGGGGCUGCGGGCAAAGCUGGUUCUGGAGUUGUGUCGGUCUGAGCAGUCAGCUGACCCAGAGACCAUCCAACCACACCUGAGCAGGAUAAGGACCUUCAUCAUGACUCAUACAGAAAAGGAGAUACCUGAUCCAGAGGUGGAGGCAUCUGAAACAAAGUUCUUGGAACUUGUCCAAACCCUUCUAGUUAAUCCAAAAAUGAGGGAACACUUUUUCCAGGAGGUCUUUCCAGUAGAAUUCGGGCCCAUGUAUGACACAGCACUGCAGACUCUAAUGUGGGAGUUCCUCUCCAGGCUGGAGAAGCUGCUUCCAACACCUACAUUUCAAGAGACUGCGUCGUGGCUCAGACCUGCUCCCUCUCUGCUAAAGGAGUGUGCACAGACUGUAACUCAACCACAUCCUUUGAAGACUCUCCUACUGCACCACAGAUGCCACAGUCCUUUGUUCAGUAAUGUUCAGCCGUCUUGUGUCAAUGACCACAUCCUUUCUUCACUGUCUCAAAUACUCCCAGAGAAAGUGGAAAUUGACAUUUAUGGGAUACGCUCUGAAUCCACUUAUUCCCCUAGAAAUUGCCCCAUACAUAACAAUGAUGGUGCGACUGUGAAAGAAGAGAACAAUGUAGAGAAUGAGCUGGGGAUGAAUUCGGACAUUGUUAUUAAGAAGCCAGUGGAAAUUACGAAUGUAAGGACAGAGGAUUUGGAGGAGAAGCAUUAUGAGGAGAUACUAAGUCAUGAUAAACCAGUGGAUGUUGUAAAGGUAGAGGUUGUAGAUGCAGACGACGUGUCCCAGACAUCAUCAACAACGCACAUUGUUGGACGUUCCUGGUCCCUGGAGGAGACAAAAGCACUUAUCACCAUAUGGUCAAAUGAAGAGAUUCUUCAGAAGUUCGGGAAAUGGUAUAGAAACAAACAUGUGUAUACCGAAAUUUCCCAGUUGUUAAACGAUCUUGGCUUCAAAAGGACUUGGAAGCAGUGUCAAACAAAGAUAAAGGACAUGAAGUACAGCUACAGAAGAGCACUAAAGAACCCAAGUAGUAGCAGCCCUGUUUCCUUUUCGUUCUUUUCUGAACUACACACAUUUCUUUCCCGAAUGCCUUAUUUGCCUGGUUCUAAAGAAACUGGACAGGUUUCAGAUGGAGAAGAAAUGUCUAUGGAUCAGGAUGAAGGACCUUCUGUGGAUGUUUAUUUAGAAGAGCCUCUACACGAGGAAAUUACAUCUAGAGAAGUGACACAGAAAACAGUCACUGCAGAGGAAACAGACAAGAUAAAGGGACAUGAGGCAUUUCAUAGUUUUCAAAGUCAUAGCAUGAAAAUCGAAGUAGAAACCCCAAGUUGCAAACAGGCAAUGGAAGACGUCUCUGAGUUGAAUCUUCAACCUGUAGUUCUUCUGCCCCGAAUUCAUGACAACAUUCUGAUGACAGUUCAUCCAUCUUGUGUCAAUGACCCCAUCUUAUCUUCUCUGCCUCACUUGGUCUCUGAGAAGUUGAAAAUGGACAUCGAUGAGACAUGUGUGGAAUCCGGUUGUACACCUGGAACUUGUACCAUGUAUAACAAUGAAAGUGACACUUUGAAGGAGGAAAAUUGUGCAGGGAAUGAGCUUGGGGUGUGUUUGGAAAUGACUGAUGUAAGCAACAAGGAUUUAGAAGAGGACUAUGGUGAGAUGCUUAAAAAUCAUAAACCAGCUGAUUUAGCAAAUGUAGGGAUUGAAGAUGUUUCCCAGACAUCAUCAACAACGCACAUUGUUGGACGUUCCUGGUCCCUGGAGGAGACAAAGGCACUUAUCACCAUAUGGUCAAAUGAAGAGAUUCUUCAGAAGUUCGGGAAAUGGUAUAGAAACAAACAUGUGUAUACCGAAAUUUCCCAGUUGUUAAACGAUCUUGGCUUCAAAAGGACUUGGAAGCAGUGUCAAACAAAGAUAAAGGACAUGAAGUACAGCUACAGAAGAGCACUAAAGAACCCAAGUAGUAGCAGCCCUGUUUCCUUUUCGUUCUUUUCUGAACUACACACAUUUCUUUCCCGAAUGCCUUAUUUGCCUGGUUCUAAAGAAACUGGACAGGUUUCAGAUGGAGAAGAAAUGUCUAUGGAUCAGGAUGAAGGACCUUCUGUGGAUGUUUAUUUAGAAGAGCCUCCAUGUGACAAAAUGUCUUGUAGAAAAGCUACAGAAAAGACAGUAAACGGAGAGCAAACAGAAGAAAGUAAGUGUGAUGAAGCUGUUCAAAGCCCUCAAAGUGACAGCAAGAUAAAUUUCAGUAGACAGUCCCAUUGUUGUGACCCAAAGGUGGAAGACCAAUCUGAAUUGCCCCUUUCAGAGAAAGAAUUAAUGUCCUCAACAUCAGUGACGUUGUCAAUCGAUGACAGACGGGCGCAAAACUGUAACUGGACUACUGAUGAGACAAAGAUGCUUAUCUCCUUGUGGUCGAACAAACCCAUUCUUCAGGAGUUGCAACACAGCUAUAGAAAACAUCAUGUGUACCUCAACAUUUCAAAGCAACUUAAUAAUCUUGGUUAUAAGAAGACCUGGAAGCAAUGUCAAACAAAAAUAAAGGACAUGAAGUACAGCUACAGACGAGCACUGAGGAACCCAAAGAGCAGUGGCCGAGUUCCCUGUUCCUUCUAUUCUGAACUACAUGCAUUUCUUUCUGUAAUGCCUGACUCUAAGGAAAGGGGCGUGGUUUCAGGUGGAGAAGUCAUGUCUUUGGAUCAGAAUGAUAAUGUAGAUGUUAAUUCCGAAGAUUCCCCACUUGAGGAAAUGGCUUCUGGAAAAGAGACACGUAAGACACUCAGAGCAGAGCAAACCGAAGAGAUAAAGGGGGAUGGAGCAUUUCAUAGUCCUCGAAGUGAUGAAGUGAUAUGCAUGGAAAGAGAGACCAACACUUGCCAACAGGUCGCUGAAGACUUCAAGCCUUUAGUGCUUCUGCCCCAACUUCAAAGCAACGUUCCGAGGACACGUGAUGCAUCAUUUUCCCACUCCAUCAGGGGGUCUCUUAAAAGAAGCAAGCGUAACAAAAAAUGCUCCUUAUGUGGGAGGAGUUUUGUUACAGGAAAUGAUUUGAUGAAACACAUGAGAACUCACACCGAGCAGAGCCCUCACCAGUGUACCAAGUGUGGGGAAGGCUUUGAACAUCUGCACGACCUACAAAAACAUCAGCAGAAUGAAUGUGAGGAGAUGAACCAACAAGAAGUCAAUGAACCCCAGCUUGGAAAGAAGGACUGGAUGUCAAGACUGUCCAGUACUGAUUCCAAAACAUGCCAGCUAUGUCAUAAGACUUUUAAAUUUCAGUAUUUGUUAAGAAGGCAUCUUAUUUUAUUUCACAAAGGCAAAAGCCUUUUUAAGUGCCCUCUGUGUCUGAAGGGUUUUGCCUUCCUCAGCGCUCUGAAGAAACACCAGAGUAACAAAAGAGGUUGUCCUACAAGUGAAGGCAUCAAAAAGAGGAGGGAGCUAGGACCAAAACCCUCCUUUGGUCAUGUCAUCAAAAGGUGUUUUAAGUGUCCCCGUUGUUUGAAGGCUUUUGUAUCCCACAGUCAAUUAAAAAGACACCAGGAAAACAAAAGAGGUUGUGGGAUAGAGAGAGUUGAAAAAAAUGGGAGGAAGCAGGCAUGGACACUGACUCCUGGGGAAAAUAGUAAAGACAUUCCUCAGCCUUCCAGUCUAGCAACUGAGGAACCAACUACCUCCUAUGCCCUCACCACUUCAGCACACUCCUCAAAUAAAAAGACUAUUCCCAAAGCAUGUCCUAUCUGCCAUAAGGCUUUCACAUUUAAAGCUACAAUGAUAAGGCACAUUGCUUCUCACCAAAAGGAAAGUCUCAACAAGUGCCCUGAUAUCUUAAAGUGCAACUUUUGUAAAGAGACGUUUUCUCGUGGCAUGGAACUGAAGAUCCACUACAGUCGUGUUCAUCAAUUUACGGGCCAGUUCCCAUGUCCUUCUUGUCAGAAGACAUUUUUUUCAUUAACUGAGCUACGCAUACAUCAGAGGAAUGAGCCCAUGCCAUAUAAGUGCUCUGUGUGCCAGCGUUUUUUCAGAACACAAAAAACCUUGACCAUUCACGAGCGAAUUCACACAGGGGAGAAACCAUUUGUCUGCGCUGAGUGUGGGAAGGGUUUCCGGAUUGAAAAACUCCUGCAAUCCCACUCUGAGACUCAUGUUGAAUCAAAGCCGCAUGAUUGUUUAACUUGUGGGAGACGGUUCAAGAGAGAAGCGCUAUUGAAACAACAUAUGUUGCAUCACAAAGAUGCAUCUUUCGUCUGCCCAGACUGUGGCAAGAAGUUUUUCCAGCUGACAUGGUUAAGAAGGCAUAUGUUUAUGCACACCGGUGAAAGGCCGUUUCUCUGUGACGUCUGCGGCAAGGGUUUUAAAUCAAGGGCUGAAUUAAAGCUACACACUAUGAACCACACUGGAGAGCGGCCAUUCAAGUGCCCAGAAUGUGGCAAAGGUUGCAGGCAGAAGAGUGAGUUGCAGUUGCAUCGGCGGAGACACACUGGAGAUCGUCCGUAUCCAUGCUCCAUGUGUGAUAAACGCUUUUAUUGCAACAAAGAUAAAGAACGGCAUAUGAUCACCCAUACUGGAGAGAGGCCUUACAAAUGUCAAGCAUGUGGCAUGGCUUUCAAGCGCAGAGUGCUUUUGAGUGUGCACCAAAACAAGUCAUGUAUGUAGGAAACUCACACCGUAGGCCAAUCUCAUAUGCCUGGCAGAUGAUCUACUGUGGUUUCAGAUUACUGAAAACAAUUAGAUUGUUUUAAUUAAGUAAAAUGUGGGCUCAUGACGUCAAAAUGUUAGGAUAUUUUGUAUUAUUUUCUCUUGCAACAACUUUCCAUACUUUCAAUGACCAUAGGCCAAAUGUCACUCCAUCAUGUUGAGAAUAUCUUAACUUGAACAUUUGGCCAACUCCCAUGAUUGAAAACAAUAUACAUUUUGCUAGAAGAAGGUUACUUUUCAUUGAAGGCUGGACGCCAUCUGAUAAAGUGUCAGCAACGAACCUAUGAGCAAAUGAGGAGGUAAGCUUAUUGACUUGCCCAGCCCUAACUUUAUUUUGAAUGAAGUUAUUUAUUGCACCUCUGUCACUCAGUUUUUAAUGUCUUCAUCAUGAUUUGUAUUUUCAGAAUUGUGUUCUGUUUAUUGAAUAGAAGCCUGCUGAAAUACUAUCCAAAGUCCAGUGUAAUAAAUGGACUGCGUUAGACUAGUCCAAAAUUGCCUUAGACUGAAAUCGAAGUACACUGAUGCAUAAAGGAAACGAAGACCUUGGGUUCUGGAGCCCCUUUUCUUAGAUGUGAUGGUUGGUACAACAUAAGUCACCAAGUUUCAGUCAAUCUUAUCUAUGGUGAAAGCUACAGAUGACUCCAAUGUAUAGUUGCUUUUGUGUAUGUCUGUUUUGUGGUCUUUUCAUUUGGUGCGGAACAGACACACACACGGUGUGUUUUCACUUGUGUAGCUCUGUUUCGCCCAUUUCGCUCAGACAAUUUAUUGUAGUUGGCUGCCUUUCUUAGCAAAGGAACUUGUUGCUAGGUUUUAAAGUCCUAGCAAUAUGCCGAAAGACAAAAGGUCUAACUGUUCUUAUAAAGAGACAUUUUCUUUGUCGGUAUGGGCAUAAAAGUCUGUCCAAAUCAGCGUGAUGACUCAAAAGAAGGUAUUCAAUUCCCUGUCGGCAGAACUCAGAGAGCUGGGGUACCAUUGGUCUACCAACCAGAUUAAAGGCAAACAUGAAAAAUAUAAGAGAGUACAAGGACAUGAAACACAAAUCCUCAGGGGGCAGCUUGAGAAGUUUGUCCACACUGAAUUCCUCAAUAAAAUAUUAAAAGGCCAACCUAGUGUCGAACCACCGUUUAAUGUGGAAACAGCUGAAGACUUCACGCUACCUGAGGAUAAUCAUGCAACUCGUGGACGAGGGAUGGCCAGAGACUGAUGGAAAGUCAGGGUAAAAGUGGACCUGGAAGUGGACCUGGAAAGCGACGCAUGCGAUUCAUCUCACUCUCAGGAGGCCUUUUUUCCUUUCCUCCUGCAAGGCCGUUGUGACACCAAGUUCAGAGGAGAAGCAGCAUGGAUGGAAUGAUGGAACAUUUUCCUGGAGCAUCAGGACAGGUCAAAGACGGAGUUUAUGACACUUAUGACAGUGCAGGAGGAGGCGAGAGAACAGAGUGGCAGAACAAAGAAAAAAGGAGAGGCAAGAUGCCACUGUUCUCCUGGUGAAGCAUCAACAUCUAACUACACCUCUGACAACAGCACCAGCUUUUCAGAUGGAAGGUCUAAUACAUCUCUGUAACUGCAUUGUAGUACACUGAUCAGCCAUAACAUUAUGACCACCAGCCUAAUGACCUGUCGAGGCAUGGACUCCACUAGAGAUCUGGCACCACGACUUUAGCUACACAGCCCCAAACGCAACAAACUGCAACGCAGUGUAUUCCCUGACACCUUUCGAUCAGUACCAGCAUUCACUUUUUCAGCAAUUUGAGCUACAUUAGUUUGUCUGUUGGUUCGGACCACACGGAGCCGCCUUCGCUCCCCACGGGCGUCAGUGAGCCUUGUGCGUCCAUGACCCUGUCGCUGGUUCACAGCUUUUUCUUCCUUGGGCCACUUUUGAUAGGUACUUUGAGAUGCUCUGACCCAGUCGUUUAGCCAUCACAAUUCUAACACAUCAACUUUGAGGGCAGAAUGUUCACUUGCUGCCUACAGUUUCCCACCCACAGACAGGUGUAUAAUGUUAUGGGUGUUCGGUGUAUAAUAUAACACAUAAUUUACCCGUGAUAUGCAGCAUACACAUUUUAUCGCCAAGUAAUAUAUUUUUACAUAUAUUUUUUAUUUAUAUUUAUGACUGAUCAAUUAUUUCCUUGUACAUUAUUCCAAUUGAAUUGCCAAUUAAGUGAUUUAUUUACUCCUAAAUCUGUGCUCUUACCCACUUAAGUGUUCAACCACUGACAAUCUCUUUGUGAAAAUGUUUUUAUCUCACAAAUAAUGAGAACUGUUCAUAUUUAAGAGUUUUUGGUUAGAAACUACUGUGUUUCGCUUAAAGCUGCAGUGUGUGUACGUGCGUGCGUGUGUGAGUGUGUGUAUAGGUGUAAAAUAGUGCAGUUCAUUGACUGAAUAAACUGUUUUAGUAGCCUUCAUCAGGCUUAUUCAUGAUAUUGUUAGUGUUGGGCUGCCUACUGUCAGGGAAAGGCUUCAUAAGCCAAGGCAGGAAGGAUGUUCUGUAACGCCUGGAUCACUGCUGGUACAGAACUCCCAUCCUGUCUCUGGAUCGGGGCACAGGUUUCCCUCUUGAAACUGAAGAUAAUGAACUUGUAUUGAUGAUCAACAAAUCCCUGAAGCACUACAUAGUGGAACCAUUCUGGUUGUAGUAGAAACUUCUUGAAUAAAACCUUUAUAAUAAUAA